AGGAGUCUAGUGAAGCGAUUCCAGAAUGUUCCACAAGUUGAAUACAACUCCAUCAGAAGUUUCAUUAGCAGCCAAAAUUCAGGUGAAAUCAAGCUGCCUGCAGACUACUGCAGUGUGGACCUGGACCUGGACGCCGAGUUCGAGGUCAUCCUGCCGCGUCGACGCGGCCUCGGCCUCUGUUCGACCGCCUUGGUUAGCUACUUGAUUAACCUACACAAUCAAAUCGUCUACACGGUGGAAAAGUUCUCCAACGAAAGCAACAGGUAUGUGCACGAACCACAAGAAGCGGUGCCCGCUCGACCCGGGUUCCUGAGCCCACGGGGCAGAUGCGGGCCAAGCUUAGCUCUGUCCCCAGCAGACGCUUCCUCAGCCGCGCCCACCGGUGUCCCACACUCGCGUGUGCUUGGUGCGCUCAGAGUGUGAGGACACGAAACAGGAACUGCUCCCCGCACGCUGGAGAGUCCGCCCGCACGCUCGACCUGCACACUGAGCGCUGCCUCUGUGUCCCUCAGCUAUUCUGUGGACGCCUCUGAGGUCACCGACCUGCACGUCAUCAAUUACGAGGCGGAGCGGGACCUGACCCCGCUGAUUCUGUCCAACUGCCAGUAUCAGGUGGAGCAGGGCGGCGAGACCUCGCAGGAGUUCCACCUGGAGAAGAUCCAGCGCCAGGUCACCAGCCGCUGCCUCCAGGGCAAGCCCAGGCUGACCCUGAAGGGAAUACCCACUCUGGUAUACAGACAUGACUGGAACUACGAACAUCUCUUUGAGGACAUCAAGAACAGAAUGGCACAGAACUCCCUCCCCAAGUCGGCCAUCAGAGCCAUCAGUGGACAACUGCAGUCCUACAGCGAUACCUGUGAAGCUCUGUCCAUCAUAGAAGUCACCUUGGGGUUUCUGAGCACGGCAGGCGGGGAUCCAAACAUGCGCUUGAAUACGUAUGUCCAAGACGUCUUGCGAAUGGGUGACCAGACGGCUCUCGUGCUAAAGGCCUUGGAGAGGUGUCAGUUAAAACACAGCAUUGCCCUCUGGCAGCUCCUCUCUGCUUACAAGUCCGAACAGCUGCUGCGACUGAACAAAGUGAGUGGGCCUCUGUCUCUUCCCGGGAUGGAGGGAGCUGUGCCCCUCUCUUUGCGGGCUGGCUUUAGUGUCUCACUUGUCCUUCCUUCAUUUCAGGAGCCUUUUAGGGAAAUCAGCUCAAGGUACAAAGAGGACCUCAGCCCAGAAAAUGCUAAGCUGCUCGGCACUUUCCUGAAUCAGAUUAGCCUGGAUACCUUCCUGCUGGAACUCCACGAAAUGAUGGUCUUGAAACUGAAGAACCGCCAAGACCAGGACAGUUUCAAUCCUGAGUGGAGCCUGAGAGACACUCUGGUAGUGUGCAUGGAAACUAAAGAGAGUGAAAUUCUUCCUGAAGUGGAGUACCAGUUCCCGGGAGAGAUCCUGCUCUCGAAUUGUGUCUGCGUGUGGAAAAUGGCGGCCGCGCUGAAACGGGAUCGACAGAUGCGAUAGCAUCGCCUCCUCAGCGCUGUGUUUGGGGAGACUUGGGGGGAAGGCUCUGGCCCCGUACCCACGGCCCGGAUCCCACCACGGGCCGCUGCCUUUGUGAGUGCUCAGGAGGAAGCUGUUGGCGCAGCACUCAACGCAAGACCAGGGUGUGCUGUGUGAGCUGCUUCUGAAACAAGGAUGUAUCCAAACUUCCUCAUCCUGUGAAAUCUGUUCGUUCGAGGAGUUGACGAAGACUACAUGGAAUUGGAAAUAACCUGCCAUCGUUUACAUUGCAGGAGGGACAAAGAAGCUUCUCAGCCUCACAGGCAGUGAUGGCUGGUGUCUGGAACCUCUGGCACUUCCUCAGACACAGGUCCCUCCUCAGACUACUGCAUAAUUAGAGGGAGGGGACAAAACAGAUCACUAGUUUUGCUUUUAUCCUUUUUCUAAGUUAUUCUAUACUCAGGAAAGAAUCUGGUUUUCUUCUUUCUUCUAUGACCUUAAAUUCUGAGUACUAUACAGAUAUUUCUGGGUUUCCAAGAAGAUGUGAAAAAGUACUAGACUCUUCUGUCUUCUCACAAAUACAAGAAAAAUCAGGACAUUUUGUAAGUGCCUUAAGACCAAACUAACAAGAUCCCAGCAGACCCGCAUGAGUCACUGCCACGUCUCAGAGGGCGAGAGCCAGAAAGCCUGCGUUGUGAAGAGCUCUGGGCCGGGCGUCAGGGACACUUCUGGGUCUUAGUUUCCUCACGUACAAAGAGAAGGGAGUGGGUUGGUGGCCAAAGGUCCUUACAAUUCUAAAACUUUUAAAUUCUAAAUGAACGUUGAUUAAUGUCAAC
rnacentral:lncRNA from 1 species